GCGGGGGAGCGGGCCCGACUUGCAGGACCGGGCCGGGGCCGCGCCGUUGGGGAGCGGGCCCCGCGGGGCUGGCCGGGCGGGGCAGGAGCCGCCGCGGAGCCUUCGGGCCGCCGCGACCAUGUCGGACCAGGCGCCCAAAGUUCCCGAGGAGAUGUUCCGGGAGGUCAAGUACUACGCGGUGGGCGACAUCGACCCGCAGGUCAUUCAGCUUUUGAAAGCCGGGAAAGCCAAGGAAGUGUCCUACAAUGCGCUAGCCUCGCACAUCAUCUCGGAAGACGGGGACAAUCCCGAAGUGGGGGAAGCGCGGGAAGUCUUCGAUCUCCCUGUCGUAAAGCCUUCCUGGGUGAUCUUGUCCGUUCAGUGUGGAGCUCUCCUGCCAGUUAAUGGUUUUUCCCCGGAGUCCUGUCAGAUAUUUUUUGGAAUCACUGCCUGCCUCUCUCAGGUGUCACCUGAGGACAGAAGCGCUCUGUGGGCCAUGCUGACCUUCCACGGAGGGAGCUGCCAGCUGAGCCUCAACAAGAAGUGCACCCACCUGGUGGUUCCAGAGCCCAAGGGGGAGAAGUACGCGUGUGCGCUGAAGAGAGCGGGUAUCAGCAUCGUGACCCCCGACUGGGUGCUGGACUGCAUAUCGGAGAAGGCCAAGAAGGACGAGGCGCUCUACCAUCCUCGGCUCAUUAUUUAUGAGGAGGAGGAAGAGGAGGAGGAGGAGGAGGUAGAAAAUGAGGAGCAAGACUCCGCAAACGAGGCCAGUAGCGACGAGAAGUCGAGCCCCGCCAGUUCUCAGGGAGGCUCCCCUGCAGGUGACCCGCAGUUUUCACCCAAAGCGAACGCCGAGAAGGCCAAGGGGGAGCUGAUGUUCGACGAUUCUUCAGAUUCCUCCCCGGAAAAGCAAGAGAGGAAUCUAAACUGGACCCCGGCGGAAGUGCCCCCGCUGACGGCCGCCAAGCGCCGGCUGCCGCCCGGCAAGGAGCCCGGCCUCAUUAACCUGUGUGCCAACGUGCCGCCGGUCCCGGGGGGUGUCCUGCCUCCUGAGGUCCGUGGGAACCUGGUGGCCCCGGGACAGGCCCUCCCGGGCUCCGAGAGGCCCGAGGCGAUGGCCGCCUGGAGCCCGGCCGUGCGGACGCUGCGCAACAUCACCAACAGCGCCGACAUCCAGCAGAUGAGCCGGCCCCCCAACGUGGCCCACAUCUUGCAGUCCCUUUCGGCCCCAACGAAAAGUUUAGAACAGCAGGUGAAUCACAGCCAGCAGGGCCACUCGAACGCCGUGCUGUUCAGCCAAGUAAAGGUGACCACGGAGCCGCAUCUGCCCCAGCCACCACCACACCCCGUCCUGCACCUGCCACCCCAACAGGCGGUGCAGCUGCAGCAGCAGUUGCCACACGCCGCACAGCAGCCUUACCCGCCGCAGGCCCUCCCCCAGCACCCGUUCCCACAGCAGCCGAUGCACCGCCCCCCGCAGCAGCCGCAGCCCCUCCCGCAGCAGCUGCAGCCCCUCCCGCAGCAGCAGGCCCUGCAGCAGCAGCUGCACCAGCUGCAGCAGCAGCAGCUCGCACAGUUUCAGCAGCAGCAGCUCGCGCGCCUGCACCAGCAGCAGCAGACGCAGACCCAGGCGCCCCAGGCCCUCCAGCACCAGCCGCCGCCCCCGCAGCCCCCGCCGCCGCAGCACCAGCACCAGCUGUUUGGACACGACCCAGCAGUGGAGAUUCCAGAGGAAGGCUUCCUCCUGGGCUGUGUGUUUGCCAUUGUGGAUUAUCCGGAGCAGAUGUCCGACAAGCAGCUGCUGGCCACCUGGAAAAGGAUAAUCCAGGCGCACGGAGGGGCCGUGGACCCCACGUUCUCCAGCCGCUGCACACACCUUCUCUGCGAGAGUCAAGUCAGCGGGCUCUUUGCGCAGGCGAUAAAGGAGAGGAAGAGGUGCGUCACGGCGCACUGGCUGAACGCCGUCCUGAAGAAGAAGCGGCUGGUGCCGCCCCACCGCGCCCUGCACUUCCCCGUGGCCUUCCCGCCCGGCGGGAAGCCCUGCUCCCAGCACAUUAUCUCUGUGACUGGCUUCGUCGACAGCGACAGGGACGACCUGAAGCUGAUGGCCUACCUGGCAGGUGCCAAGUACACGGGCUACCUCUGCCGCAGCAACACGGUCCUCAUCUGCAAAGAACCAACGGGUUUAAAGUAUGAAAAAGCCAAAGAGUGGAGGAUCCCGUGCGUGAACGCCCAGUGGCUGGGAGACAUCCUUCUGGGGAACUUCGAGGCGCUGCGGCAGAUCCAGUGUGGGCGCUACACAGCCUUCAACCUGCAGGACCCCUUUGCUCCGACUCCACACUUGGUUCUCAACCUCCUGGAUGCUUGGAGAGUUCCCUUAAAGGUGUCAGCAGAGCUGUUGAUGGGUGUCAGACUACCUCCCAAGCCGAAGCAGAACGAAGUAACGAAUAUCCAGCCUUCUUCCAAAAGAGCCAGAAUUGAAGAUGUACCACCUCCCACCAAGAAGCUAACACCGGAAUUGACCCCCUUCGUGCUUUUCACUGGAUUUGAGCCUCUUCAAGUUCAACAGUAUACUAAGAAGCUCUACAUCCUUGGAGGGGAGGUCGCCGAGUCUGCGCAGAAGUGCACCCACCUCAUCGCCAGCAAGGUGACGCGCACGGUCAAGUUCCUGACGGCCAUCUCCGUGGUGAAGCACAUCGUGACCCCCGAGUGGCUGGAGGAGUGUUUCAAGUGUCAGAAGUUCAUUGACGAGCAGAACUACCUGCUGCGCGACGCCGAGGCCGAGGUGCUCUUCUCCUUCAGUCUGGAAGAGUCCUUGAGGAGGGCGCACCUGGCUCCGCUCUUCAAGGUACCGCGAUGCUCCAGGCGAAAUAUUUUUACAUCACUCCUGGAAUUUGCCCGAGCCUCUCGACCAUGAAAGCGAUUGUGGAGUGCGCAGGGGGGAAAGUGCUGUCCAAACAGCCGUCUUUCCGGAAACUCAUGGAACACAAGCAAAACAAGAGUUUGUCAGAAAUAAUUUUGAUAUCCUGUGAGAAUGACCUCCACUUGUGUCGAGAGUAUUUUGCCCGAGGAAUAGAUGUUCACAAUGCAGAGUUUGUUCUAACUGGAGUGCUCACACAGACGCUGGACUAUGAAUCAUAUAAAUUUCACUGAGGCACCUGCACAGGUGACCGGAGCCCAGCCCGUGGUCUGGAGGCGUCGGCGGCCGCUGCUCCCUUCAGACGUCCUUGUUUUCCAGCUGCUUUCUUCUGGGACGAGCAUUUUAAAGCAGGAAGACAAAUAGUAAAUAUGCUGCAUCUCAUUGAGAUGUGUAAUUUUAUUCCGAGAAAAACAUAAAUUAUGUUUUGUAUUAUAGGAUUUUAAAAGCCCACAUUAGGUUUUAUGAUUCCCUUGUCAGGUUUUUAAAUGUUUUCACAACACUGUUAACGGAAUUUCAGCUGCGAAUAAGAUGGUGUACAUAGAGAUCUUGCUCUCUCUAAAUUAUGGAUGUUAAAGAUUUGAGAUGUUUUGUACUUUUAUUUUUAUUUCUUAUACUUGUUUCUUUUAUAUUGAUAUCUUGCCCAGUUUUGAAAAAUAAAUGUACUUUUGAACUUUA